rnacentral:rRNA from 1 species
AUUGAACGCUGGCGGCAUGCCUUACACAUGCAAGUCGAACGGCAGCACGGGUGCUUGCACCUGGUGGCGAGUGGCGAACGGGUGAGUAAUACAUCGGAACAUGUCCUGUAGUGGGGGAUAGCCCGGCGAAAGCCGGAUUAAUACCGCAUACGAUCUACGGAUGAAAGCGGGGGACCUUCGGGCCUCGCGCUAUCGGGUUGGCCGAUGGCUGAUUAGCUAGUUGGUGGGGUAAAGGCCUACCAAGGCGACGAUCAGUAGCUGGUCUGAGAGGACGACCAGCAAAAGGGGGACGGAGACACGGCCAAGACGCAAAGGGGAGGCGGCGGGGGGGAUUUGGGAAAAAGGGGAGAAAGCCUGAACAAGAAAGGCGGGGUGUGGGAAGAAGGCCUGGGGGUUGAAAAGAAGUUUGGUAGGAAAAAAAAUCGUGGCACAAAAAAGGGGGGGGGGAUGAGGGAACAGAAAAAAAAAAACCGGAAAAACAAGGGA